rnacentral:rRNA from 1 species
GAAGCGGGAAAAGCUCAAAUUUAAAAGCUGGCAGUCUUUGAUUGUCCGCGUUGUAAUCUAGAGAAGUGUUACCCGCGUUGGACCGUGUACAAGUCUCCUGGAAUGGAGCGUCAUAGAGGGUGACAAUCCCGUCUUUGACACGGACUCCCAAGGCUUUGUGGUGCGCUCUCAAAGAGUCGCGUUGUUUGGGAAUGCAGCGCAAAAUGGGUGGUAAAUUCCAUCUAAAGCUAAAUAUUGGCGAGAGACCGAUAGCGAACAAGUACCGUGAGGGAAAGAUGAAAAGAACUUUGGAAAGAGAGUUAAACAGUACGUGAAAUUGCUGAAAGGGAAACGCUUGAAGUCAGUCGCGUUUGCUAGAGAUCAACCUUGCUUUUGCUGGGCGUACUCUCUAGCUGACGGGCCAGCAUCAGUUUUGACCAUUGGAAAAGGGCAGAGGGAAUGUGGCAUCUUCGGAUGUGUUAUAGCCUUCUGUCGUAUACAGUGGUUGGGACUGAGGAACUCAGCACGCCGCAAGGCGGGGAUUCGUCCACCUUCGUGCUUAGGAUGCUGGCAUAAUGGCUUUAAUCGACCCG